AUAUGGAACUCCCGUAUAAUUAUAUGCAUAAUUGCCGCCCCAUAAGGGGCGGUUCUUAGUCCGCCAGGCGUGAAUGAAAAGAUUUUUUUGCUGAGCGAAAUCUUGCGUUUCGUGCUGUGCUACUUGAUUUCGUGUAAACAAACUACUUAAGUAGUACAGCUUCGAAGUAGCACAAACUUUAAAAUAAACGAAUAGAACCUAAGAAAAAUUAAUUGUGAAGCUGUACUUAAAAGCCAGGUUUCUGACAUCAAACUGUCAUGGCGGCGACCAAUAGAUUUGAGUGAGUAUCACUGUGUAACUGGCAAUGCGAUGAUGACAGUGAUCUGGAAGAAUCUUUUAAUGAUGACAACCUUAUACAUUCUUGCAUUACAUAGCUGUGAAAAAUACUUUGUUGAUAAUGUUGAUAGCUAGCUAGAUCAAUUUCCAUGAUGGUGGACUCAUCAUUUGCAUACUGCUUAAAAAGCCUACACCCUGGAAUUAGCUAGCUAUAUGUCUAUGUAAUAAUCAAAAGAAGGAUAAAUUUAAUGGAGAUCCUAACUCGAAAUAUAAAGGACGUACUUGUAAAUGAAUAAAGGAAAAGUCCUUCUGAUACGUUACAACCAGUAAACCACAAUGUUUUUUAGCUUAAAGUUGCAGAAAAACUUGCCACCAUGAACAUGAACUGAUGCAUAUAUCUAUAGAUUUUGUUUUUGCAGAUUUUAUAGAUUAUGCCUUUCAAUUUUUUAACCUAUAAAUUUGAUUUAAAAAUAAUAAUGCUGCAGGUCUAUAGUAGACCUGGAGUUUUAAUAUUUUUAAAGUAAUCGUUGGCCUGAUUUUUUUUUAUAUUUUUAUUUUGUAUAAUAUAUACUUUUACAUUUUUUAUGCGUGUGUCUGAACAAAGUGUUAUUUUGUCCUAAAAUCUUAUUUUUUGAUUGGGAUUUUUUAAUUUCUUUUUUAAAUGAAUAUUUGUAAAGUUUUAUUUUAAAUGCUUCACAGACUGCAUUUGAAACAUUUUGACAGUAUCAAUUGUGCAUGAAAACAGUAUAAAUAUAAUCCAAUUUAUAGUGAGGUAGAACGUAGCAAAAAAUUCAGCCGUAUCACUGUAUAUAAUACUGUGCGAAAUAAUUCUUUAAAAAACUUAACUGGAAAUAUUUUCUUAUUCUUUCCGGAUCUUAAUAGUUAUAGACUGUUUGCUGCUCUUGAAAAAAUCCACUAGAAACAAAAUCAAAUGUGCAUGUAACUUCCAGAUUUAAACCUAGCAUGCAGAGUUAGAAUGUGCACACGUGAUAAGAUAAAACGCACUGAUUAUCCUUUCAUUGUGCACUUCGCCUGUUGGUGCAACCUCAACCCCAGGGUUUAUAAAAAGAGAACGAGCCCUGGGGUCAAGGUUGGUGUUGGGGCUAAUCAUCGCUUUGGAAAAUAAGGGGUGGCAUAUGCAUCAGCUUUGAAAGAACAACUGUGGUAUCAUGGUAAACAAGGGCGGCAAGUAGUUGCAACUAUAUACUAGUAAUAUUUUUUAGAUAGUUUACUUUCACCAUCGAUAAAUAUAUAAAUGUUGUCGUAUAAAAAAUCAUUAAAAAAAAUUAAAGUUAAGGAGUAUUCCAACCUCGUCCCCAGGGUCUUGUGACCCCUGAGCCGUUAUUACGGAGUGGCCAACAAUGACCCUGGAACAGGCAGGUCAUGUGACAAAAAAUGCCCAGAUAUACUGGGCAUUUUUUAAAAACCAAAGAUAAUGAGAUGCAAAUUUGGCGCUCGCCUUCCAAGCCAGAUGGCGGGCGAAAAAAGACACAACGUUAAAGAAACUAUUUUGUUGAUAAAAGCAAAAUUGUCAGAAUAUUACUGACGUAACGUCUAUUAAUCUCGCUUAGCUUGAUUGUUCAAUAUUGGCGAAGGGCUUUUAGUUUAGAAAAUGUUUUGAAAGUUUGUUUCCAUUAAAAUUCAUGAGCUCUAGCUAGCUAGCUGGGCUGUGCUGGAAUGUCACGUUAGCUGCCUAGCUAGCUAACGUGACAUCCUGAGACAGCUUUACUCAACCAAAUAUUUAUAAAGGACAUGUUAAAUGGCUAUUAUUUUCUAAGUGGGUGAUUUUGUUAAGAACACGGUACAAGUUGUAGGAGAAGAUCUGGGGACUCUAGUUGCACACAGAUUUUCUAAUAUGCACAACAAAUUUUUGCUAUUUUUUAAAAUCAAAACUAAGAAUGACAGGUUGUAGUGCUAAAUUUAUGGAUUAUUUUUGCAGAUUCAUAUUUAGAGAUUUUGCAAAAUCUUAUUUUGUAAAAGGGACAAUAUUUGAUAUCAUUAAACUAUAUAAAUAAUAGGUUCA